GAUGAACGCUGGCGGCGUGCCUAAUACAUGCAAGUCGAGCGAACAGACGAGGAGCUUGCUCCUCUGACGUUAGCGGCGGACGGGUGAGUAACACGUGGAUAACCUACCUAUAAGACUGGGAUAACUUCGGGAAACCGGAGCUAAUACCGGAUAAUAUAUUGAACCGCAUGGUUCAAUAGUGAAAGACGGUUUUGCUGUCACUUAUAGAUGGAUCCGCGCCGCAUUAGCUAGUUGGUAAGGUAACGGCUUACCAAGGCAACGAUGCGUAGCCGACCUGAGAGGGUGAUCGGCCACACUGGAACUGAGACACGGUCCAGACUCCUACGGGAGGCAGCAGUAGGGAAUCUUCCGCAAUGGGCGAAAGCUUGACGGAGCAACGCCGCGUGAGUGAUGAAGGUCUUCGGAUCGUAAAACUCUGUUAUUAGGGAAGAACAAAUGUGUAAGUACCUAUGCACGUCUUGACGGUACCUAAUCAGAAAGCCACGGCUAACUACGUG
rnacentral:rRNA from 1 species